AGAACGAACGCUGGCGGCAUGCCUAACACAUGCAAGUCGAACGAAUCUUCAGCUUCGGUUGGAGGUUAGUGGCGCACGGGUGCGUAACGCGUGGGAAUCUGCCCUUAGGUACGGAAUAACUCAGGGAAACUUGUGCUAAUACCGUAUGAUGUCGAGAGACCAAAGAUUCAUCGCCUAAGGAUGAGCCCGCGUUGGAUUAGCUAGUUGGUGGGGUAAAAGCCUACCAAGGCUACGAUCCAUAGCUGGUCUGAGAGGAUGAUCAGCCACACUGGGACUGAGACACGGCCCAGACUCCUACGGGAGGCAGCAGUGGGGAAUAUUGGACAAUGGGCGAAAGCCUGAUCCAGCAAUGCCGCGUGAGUGAAGAAGGCCUUCGGGUUGUAAAGCUCUUUACCCGGAUGAUAAUGACAGUACCGGGAGAAUAAGCUCCGGCUAACUCCGUGCCAGCAGCCGC
rnacentral:rRNA from 1 species